rnacentral:rRNA from 1 species
UACGAGGGGGGCGAGCGUUUGUUCGGAAUUAUUGGGCGUAAAGGGCGCGUAGGCGGUCGGAUAAGUCUUGUGUGAAAUCUUCGGGCUCAACUCGAAGUCUGCACAGGAAACUAUCUGGCUUGAGUGUGGGAGAGGUGAGUGGAAUUCCUGGUGUAGCGGUGAAAUGCGUAGAUAUCAGGAGGAACACCUGUGGCGAAAGCGGCUCACUGGACCACAACUGACGCUGGAGGCGCGAAAGCUAGGGGAGCAAACAGG